UACAGAGGUCCCGAGCGUUGUUCGGAUUCACUGGGCGUAAAGGGUGCGUAGGCGGUUCUGAAAGUCUGAUGUGAAAUCUCCGGGCCCAACCCGGAAAUGGCAUUAGAAACUACAGGGCUAGAGGCUUGGAGGGGGAACUGGAAUUCUCGGUGUAGCAGUGAAAUGCGUAGAGAUCGAGAGGAACACCAGUGGCGAAGGCGAGUUCCUGGACAAGUCCUGACGCUGAGGCACGAAAGCCAGGGGAGCAAACAGG
rnacentral:rRNA from 1 species